UACAGAGGGUGCAAGCGUUGCUCGGAAUCACUGGGCGUAAAGGGUGCGUAGGCGGGUCUUUAAGUCAGGGGUGAAAUCCUGGAGCUCAACUCCAGAACUGCCUUUGAUACUGAGGAUCUUGGGUUCGGGAGAGGUGAGUGGAACUGCGAGUGUAGAGGUGAAAUUCGUAGAUAUUCGCAAGAACACCAGUGGCGAAGGCGGCUCACUGGCCCGAUACUGACGCUGAGGCACGAAAGCGUGGGGAGCAAACAGG
rnacentral:rRNA from 1 species